rnacentral:rRNA from 1 species
CCUACGGGUGGCAGCAGUGGGGAAUAUUGGACAAUGGGGGCAACCCUGAUCCAGCCAUGCCGCGUGUGUGAAGAAGGCCCUCGGGUUGUAAAGCACUUUCAGUGAGGAAGAACGCCUGGUGGUUAAUACCCAUCAGGAAAGACAUCACUCACAGAAGAAGCACCGGCUAACUCCGUGCCAGCAGCCGCGGUAAUACGGAGGGUGCGAGCGUUAAUCGGAAUUACUGGGCGUAAAGCGCGCGUAGGUGGCUUGAUAAGCCGGUUGGGAAAGCCCCGGGCUCAACCUGGGAACGGCAUCCGGAACUGUCAAGCUAGAGUGCAGGAGAGGAAGGUAGAAUUCCCGGUGUAGCGGUGAAAUGCGUAGAGAUCGGGAGGAAUACCAGUGGCGAAGGCGGCCUUCUGGACUGACACUGACACUGAGGUGCGAAAGCGUGGGUAGCAAACAGGAUUAGAUACCCCUGUAGUC